UACGUAGGGUGCAAGCGUUAAUCGGAAUUACUGGGCGUAAAGCGUGCGCAGGCGGUUUUGUAAGUCUGUCGUGAAAGCCCCGGGCUCAACCUGGAAAUUGCGAUGGAGACUGCAAGGCUUGAAUCUGGCAGAGGGGGGUAGAAUUCCACGUGUAGCAGUGAAAUGCGUAGAGAUGUGGAGGAACACCGAUGGCGAAGGCAACCCCCUGGGUCAAGAUUGACGCUCAUGCACGAAAGCGUGGGGAGCAAACAGG
rnacentral:rRNA from 1 species